rnacentral:lncRNA from 1 species
UCUUCUGCUGUCUUUCUCUUGUCCCUCCCUUUUCAUUCCACUCUUCUUCUCCUUCUUCCUUCUCUUCAUAAUCAUUCAGAUUGUCUAUGAAGCUACUCCUCAAAUAAAUACAACUGAUGAUUUUGGUUAUGAUGAUGGUGAGGAUUUAUAUGAAGCAGUAGAAACUGAUCAACUUGAUGUGAGCGAUACCCCUCCAGCAUUACCUGGUCUACCACCAUCAGGUUCUAGACCAACCAUACAGCCAACAACUGAGGAAGAUGAAGAUUCACAAGACGUCUAUGAGUAUCUUCCAGAAGAGGAUCAAGAUUGAUUUAUAACUUAUUGAUGGGAUUUCUUUUGUUUGUUUGUAUUAGAUUUUUAUUUCUUUACUAAUUUAUUUAAAAGUUUUGAU